AAUUUUGUGGCGAAGUUAGUUAACGCGCCCGUCUAACGAACUGAGGAGUCGUGGGUUCAAAUCCCCCCAUAUCUA
rfam:Aedes albopictus isolate Foshan contig19323, whole genome shotgun sequence.